rnacentral:rRNA from 1 species
CCUACGGGUGGCUGCAGUGGGGAAUAUUGCACAAUGGGCGCAAGCCUGAUGCAGCCAUGCCGCGUGUGUGAAGAAGGCCUUAGGGUUGUAAAGCACUUUCAGCGAGGAGGAAGGCAUCACACUUAAUACGUGUGGUGAUUGACGGUACUCGCAGAAGAAGCACCGGCUAACUUCGGGCCAGCCGCCGGCGUAAUACGGAGGGUGCAAGCGUUAAUCGGAAUUACUGGGCGUAAAGAGCACGCAGGGGGUUUUAUAAGUCAGGUGUGUAAUCGCCGCGGUUAACGGUGGAACUGCAUUUGAAACUGGGAAGCUAGAGUCUUGUAGAGGGGGGUAGAAUUCCAGGUGUAGCGGUGAAAUGCGUAGAGAUCUGGAGGAAUACCGGUGGCGAAGGCGGCCCCCUGGACAAAGACUGACGCUCAGGUGCGAAAGCGUGGGGAGCAAACAGGAUUAGAUACCCCGGUAGUC